CUUUUUUAGUUAAUUGGGUGUGCUUUUAUUAAGUUCGACCAUGUCCGGUCUAACCAUUCAAAGGUGGGUUUUCGAGUUGAGCUUAUACGAGUGCUAGAAACUUGCGAAAAUUGACAAUGUUGGUUAGGAGACUUAGAUGUGGGAGGAACUCAAAGGGUCUUCUGUAUGUUGUUCAAGGCACGUUUUCUUGCGGUAAUUGUAAUGCUGACACCACACCAAGAUGUCAGAACGAACGAUAUUCGUGUUGUAGUGAGGUCUUUCAUCGAAGGGGUGACGUGUUGUGUGGAAAGUGGCAAAACGGGCAACCUUUUUCGACCAUGGCCAGCACAAUCUUGGUUCAAGCUCGGGAUCCAGCUAAGUUAAGUGAGGAGUUGGAAAAUGCACUUGAUGAAAAUAGACUUAAUGAUGCCUGGAACUUACACGAACAACACAUGAACAUGGAAGGAUUUCCUAGGAAAUCUAUAGUAAACAAGCUACUUGUGACUUUUGCUCAAAGUCUGGAGCUUCAGUGGCUUGAUAGGUCAUAUGAUCUAGUAUUAAAGGCUAUGGACGAGCACAAGCAAAACUUGUUAGAGAAGGAAACUCUUAUAUAUUUAUCUUUAUCUCUUGCAAUAUACGGGUUACCUGUGAAUGCAGCGACUAUUGUAAGGAAGUUGGUUGAAACCGAACAGUUUCCUCCAGUGACUGCUUUGUCUGCUGUAUUAGCUUAUAUGUCACAGACCGCUGCCGGUGCUUACCUGGCUGCUGAAUUGGUUAUUGAGAUUGGUUUUAUGUUCCAAGAUGGGAGGGUGGACCCACGUAAAAAGAGUAAUGAUAGUUUGAUUGCUAUGAAGCCUAAUACGACGGCUAUAAACAUUGCAUUGGCGGGAUGCCUUAUUUUUGGCACAAGUAGGAAAGCAGAGCAGCUUUUGGACAUGAUACCUAGAAUUGGAGUGAAAACUGAUAUUACUAUGUUGAUCAUGAUGGGUCAUAUCUACGAAAGAAAUGGACGAAGAGAAGAGCUUAAAAAACUUAAAAGAUACGUGGAUGAGGCUCAUGAUUUAAGUGAUGGGCAGUUCAGGGAGUUCAAUAAUUGUUUGCUUUCUUGUCACUUGAAAUUUGGUGAUCUAGAUUCUGCAUCGCACAUGGUUCUUGAAAUGCUUCGGAAGGCUAAGAAAGCUCAAAAUUCUCUUGGUAUAUCCAACUUCAAGUUUGAAGUGGCAAAAGUUGGCGAAAUAGAGUCUCAAGCGAGUUUGACCCAUGAAAAAUUGGCCAAUACAGAGAGCUCUACACCGCUCAAAAGACAGACAUUGAGUUAUGAAGAGUUUUAUAGAGACAGAAAGUUUCUAAAACUUGAAGCAGAGGCUAAAGAACUACUCAAGACAUUAGUAAUGAAAUUUCAGACCCGGAUUGAACUUAUCACAACUGAACACGGCAUUCUCCAGCCAACAGAGACAGUUUUCGUGAAAUUGGUCAAGGGUUUCUUGGAAGCUAACAAUAUAAAAGAGCUAGUUGCAUUUUUAGUCAUGGUAGAGAAAGAGGAUUCCCCUGUUUCUCUUGAUUGCUCGCCUUUGAUUCAGGUUGUCAAUUCAUGCAUUUCUCUUGGAUGGUUGGAUCAGGCACAUGAUGUUCUUGAUGAAAUGCGACUUUCUGGUGUUAAAACAGGCUCGUCUGUGUAUUCAUCCCUUUUAAAAGCAUAUUGUAAAGAAAACAGGACAGCAGAAGUCAAAUCUCUCCUUAAAGAUGCACGUAAAGCUGGGGUCCAGCUAGAUGCAAGUUCUUACAAAGCAAUUAUCGAGUCCCAUGUGGAUGAUAAAGAUACUCAAGGAGCUCUACAUCUGUUUAAAGAAAUGAAAGAAGCUAAACUAGAUGGGACCGGUCAACAGGAAUUUGAUAUGUUGGUUCAAGGUUGUGUGGGAAGCGGCGAAGCUAAACUGAUGGCAAAACUAUUACAGGAAAUCAAGGAGGGUCAAACAGUUGACUGUGGUGUUCAUGAUUGGAACAAUGUGAUUCACUUUUUCAGUAGAAAAAGGCUAAUGCAAGAUGCCGAGAAGGCUCUUAAGAAGAUGCGGAGUUUAGGGUAUGCCCCGAAUGCUCAAACUUUUCAUUCAUUAGUAACUGGCUAUGCGGCCAUUGGAGGAAAGUAUACUGAAGUUACCGAACUAUGGGGCGAGAUGAAGGUUCUUGCUUUUUAUCAUGGAAUGAAGUUUGAUCAAGAAUUGCUGGACUCCGUACUGUAUACUUUUGUUAGGGGUGGAUUUUUUAUACGAGCUAAUGAAGUUGUAGAGAUGAUGGAAAAAGGGAAAAUGUUUGUAGAUAAGUACAAGUAUCGUACACUUUUCUUAAAAUACCACAAAUCAUUCUGCAAGGGGAAGACUCCUAAAGUUCAGACGGAGUCACAGCUAAAUAGGAGGGAGGCUGCAUUGACUUUUAAGAAAUGGGUUGGGUUAUUUUAAUAAAUAGUUAUCUCCAUCUGCCCAAGUUGUGGAUCUUCUGGUGUUACGAUUAAGUUUUCAGAGAUGUAAACAAGGAAUAUUCCUUGGAGCUCAUGUUAAAAUUCUCAUGUCUAUAUGUAAUGGACUUGGAGAUAACUUAUUUAUUCAUGUCUGGUUUAGCUCAUCCUUUAUAACAAAGCAUGCAGUGGGGAACAUGUAGCAUAAAAGCAGAGGUCAGAGGUACAAAUCCCCGUCCCGAUGCCCCUUUAGUUAUAGUAUUAUGCAGUUUACCUUUCUCAUUUUGGCCACAGGACAAGUCUGGGGCCCUCUAGAGGGUUGGUUACCCUUUCUUAUGACAAAACAUGGGACCUCUUUUAGGAUUUGGACUUUCUUUACAAUAAAACUCGUUGGUUUUGUAAAUCCAAGUUAUUUAUGUUCGAUUUUCAAUGGUUAUGUAUAUGACAUCUAACAUAGAAUUGAUAUGUCUUCUUUUGUAAACAUAAAUGAAUAUUUUUCA